rnacentral:sRNA from 2 species
AUAAGACCUCGUUAGGUGAGGCUCCUAUGCAAAUACAGGCCACUGCCCAGAAAUAUCGAAAGAUGCCCAUGGGUAGAACAGGGAUUGCCGGAUUAAGGCUUUUCAUAAUGUGGCUAAGGGAAGGAUACCUUCUCUUUACGUUGCAUAGUGCCAAAACUCAACCAGGGGGAACGGCA